rnacentral:rRNA from 1 species
ACGAACGCUGGCGGCACGCUUAACACAUGCAAGUCGAACGAGAGAAGAGGAGCUUGCUUUUCUGAUCUAGUGGCGGACGGGUGAGUAACACGUGAGCAAUCUGCCUUUCAGAGGGGGAUACCGAUUGGAAACGAUCGUUAAUACCGCAUAACAUAAUUGAACCGCAUGAUUUGAUUAUCAAAGAUUUAUCGCUGAAAGAUGAGCUCGCGUCUGAUUAGCUAGUUGGUAAGGUAACGGCUUACCAAGGCGACGAUCAGUAGCCGGACUGAGAGGUUGAUCGGCCACAUUGGGACUGAGACACGGCCCAGACUCCUACGGGAGGCAGCAGUGGGGAAUAUUGCACAAUGGAGGAAACUCUGAUGCAGCGAUGCCGCGUGAGGGAAGAAGGUUUUAGGAUUGUAAACCUCUGUCUUCAGGGACGAAAAAAGACGGUACCUGAGGAGGAAGCUCCGGCUAACUACGUGCCAGCAGCCGCGGUAAUACGUAGGGAGCGAGCGUUGUCCGGAAUUACUGGGUGUAAAGGGAGCGUAGGCGGGAUCGCAAGUCAGAUGUGAAAACUAUGGGCUUAACCCAUAAACUGCAUUUGAAACUGUGGUUCUUGAGUGAAGUAGAGGUAAGCGGAAUUCCUAGUGUAGCGGUGAAAUGCGUAGAUAUUAGGAGGAACAUCAGUGGCGAAGGCGGCUUACUGGGCUUUAACUGACGCUGAGGCUCGAAAGCGUGGGGAGCAAACAGGAUUAGAUACCCUGGUAGUCCACGCCGUAAACGAUGAUUACUAGGUGUGGGGGGACUGACCCCUUCCGUGCCGCAGCAAACGCAAUAAGUAAUCCACCUGGGGAGUACGACCGCAAGGUUGAAACUCAAAGGAAUUGACGGGGGCCCGCACAAGCAGUGGAGUAUGUGGAUUAAUUCGAAGCAACGCGAAGAACCUUACCAGGUCUUGACAUCGUAUGCAUAGCUCAGAGAUGAGUGAAAUCUCUUCGGAGACAUAUAGACAGGUGGUGCAUGGUUGUCGUCAGCUCGUGUCGUGAGAUGUUAGGUUAAGUCCCGCAACGAGCGCAACCCUUACUGUUAGUUGCUACGCAAGAGCACUCUAGCAGGACUGCCGUUGACAAAACGGAGGAAGGUGGGGAUGACGUCAAAUCAUCAUGCCCCUUAUGACCUGGGCCUCACACGUACUACAAUGGCUGUCAACAGAGGGAAGCAAAGCCGCGAGGUGGAGCGAACCCCUAAAAGCAGUCUUAGUUCGGAUUGUAGGCUGCAACCCGCCUACAUGAAGUCGGAAUUGCUAGUAAUCGCAGAUCAGCAUGCUGCGGUGAAUACGUUCCCGGGCCUUGUACACACCGCCCGUCACGCCAUGGGAGUCGGUAACACCCGAAGCCUGUAGUCUAACCGCAAGGAGGACGCAGUCGAAGGUGGGAUUGAUGACUGGGGUG